rnacentral:lncRNA from 1 species
UCAAUUCUCAAAUUCCGCAUUUUGCAUUUGAGACAGAGAUUUACAGACUACAACAACUGAUUAGUCCAGCUGCUUAGAAUCUCCAUAAUAAAAUUACCGGGUUAAUAUAUGUAAUAAAAUUACCGGGUUAAUAUAUGUAAUAAAAUUACCGGGUUAAUAUAGACAUAUAUAUAUAUAUAUAUAUGUUCAAUUUCUUAUAGAUUAGUCCUGCAACUGAUCCAUAUACAAUAAAGACCUGAAACAAAAAUAAUAAUUUCUUCCAGAUCUUACACAAACGAUAAAAAUGCUG